UACGUAGGUGGCGAGCGUUGUCCGGAUUUACUGGGCGUAAAGAGCGCGCAGGCGGUCGUGCAAGUCGCGUGUGAAAGCCCCCGGCUCAACUGGGGAGGGUCACGCGAUACUGUUCGACUCGAAGGCAGGAGAGGGAAGCAGAAUUCCCGGUGUAGUGGUGAAAUGCGUAGAUAUCGGGAGGAAUACCAGUGGCGAAGGCGGCUUCCUGGCCUGUUCUUGACGCUGAGGCGCGAAAGCUAGGGUAGCAAACGGG
rnacentral:rRNA from 1 species